UCCCUCCAUCCUCCCUCACUCUCACACGUUUUCUCCUCAUCUCCCACUCUUCCUCCCCAAAAACCUCUCAUUCAAGCUUUAUUCUUGCACCCAUUGAAGUGAUUUUCAAGAGUCUCCGACGGAUCGCAUCGUUCUUUGCUUCUACCGAUUUAUUUUUGUCCAAGAAGGGUGUUGUGUUUUCGUGAACUCGAGGAUCGAGAGUUGCUAUAAGUUGAGUUGUGAAUUGCUAUGCGAACGAGGUUGAGCGGGAUGUUGCGGUGGAUGUUGAGCUGGCUUAAGUACCUAGGAUGCGUUGUGUCCUCAUACAUAGGCGCUAUCAUUGACUCUCCUUUAACCUUAUUGUUUUUCCGCUGCAAUAAUUUGAACUAUGUCUCAAGACUUUAAUCUUCUCUUUAUAUUUUGUGUUUGAACAUGUAUGGUGGUGUUAGGUAUCAAACAAGUAUUUACGUUGUCUUUUGAAAA